rnacentral:rRNA from 1 species
UGGCUCAGGACGAACGCUGGCGGCGUGCCUAAUACAUGCAAGUCGAACGGUCUUUCUAUGGAAGCUUGCUUCCACUGAGAAGAUAGUGGCGAACGGGUGAGUAACACGUGGGGUAACCUGGCCCAUAAGAGGGGGGAGUAACAUCCGGAAACGGGUGCUAAUACCGCAUAGUUUCUUGAUCGCAUGAUCGGGAAAGGAAAGACGGCCUUUGUGCUGUCGCUUAUGGAUGGACCCGCGGCGUAUUAGUUAGUUGGUGAGGUAAUGGCUCACCAAGACGACGAUACGUAGCCGACCUGAGAGGGUGAUCGGCCACAUUGGGACUGAGACACGGCCCAAACUCCUACGGGAGGCAGCAGUAGGGAAUCUUCCGCAAUGGACGAAAGUCUGACGGAGCAACGCCGCGUGAGUGAAGAAAGGUUUUCGGAUCGUAAAACUCUGUUGUCAGAGAAGAACAAGUUGGAGAGUAACUGCUCCAGCCUUGACGGUAUCUGACCAGAAAGCCACGGCUAACUACGUGCCAGCCGCGGC